CUACAGUGUAUCACUAUACCUCUCUUCUCAGCUCUGCAUUUGAUGAUGUCACCUUGGUAGCUUAAAAUCAGCUGUACUAGGAAUAAUCACAGCAAGGAAAUUGGUGAACACUAUACUAUGGAGCAAUUAGGAAAGCAACCUCCUCUAUUCCACCGUCUUCUGGAAACUGGUGAAUACUAUGAAGCAAUCCUUGGUUUAUUGUUUGUCUAGAGAGUAGAAAAUGGUGGGGAAGGUACCUACGAAACUUACAAGUACCCUUGAGUGUAAUCAGUACAGUGUGAAUAGCACAACGAAUGAGGAAAUAUUCUUCCAGUGUUCAAAAAUAAUUCUCUAAUGGAGCAGAGAAUUCACUUGAAUCAUUGAUAAAAUGUUACGUUUCUUCAUACGUCUUUUUUGUCCACUUUUUCAUUAACAUAAAGGAAUAUAUCAACUGACAUUCAUAUCAGGAGUAUACCCUUGCCAUCAGCUGUAGCCAUAGAUUAGCUGUGAAUGGAAGAUCUUAAUAAAAAUCAACAAAGCAUUCUGGGGGAUUCAGUUUGCUGGAUAGAAUUCAGAGGAAAGAUUACUGCAUAUUUUAUUAUUAAUUUCAAAUUGUGUUAAGCAUCUUUUAUAUCAGUAAAAUUAUACAAUAAAUGUAUGUGUACUGUCUCAUUUUUCUUGCUAUAAAUGAGAAUAAUAAUAAAUAAUAAUGCACACAUAUAUGCAC
rnacentral:lncRNA from 1 species